rfam:Trichobilharzia regenti genome assembly, scaffold: TRE_scaffold0009743
AUCCAGCUGACGAGUCCCAAACAGGACGAACUGAGCAUCCUGGAU